GUAUAAGGUUUAUAGGCAACAAAGGCCCAUUAUUACAUUCUAUGACAUACAUUAGGGGUAUAUGAAGAAACAUAGGCCUGGAAAUGUAAGGGAAAGAAAAGACUAUCCCCAAAUCCCAAGUAACUUGGAGAGAUUAUCCAGGUCUACAAAAGGUGCACAGGUGGAAAUAUAAAGAUGACAAGCGUGCACAAUGCUCCCUAGAGAACCAGCAACAACUUAUCAGGUUUAUUCAAUAAUGAUCCUUCCGCAGGUUCACCUACGGAAA
rnacentral:misc_RNA from 1 species